rnacentral:rRNA from 1 species
UACGUAGGGAGCAAGCGUUGUCCGGAAUCACUGGGCGUAAAGCGCACGUAGGCGGAUUGUUAAGUCGGGGGUGAAAUCCUGGAGCUCAACUCCAGAACUGCCUUCGAUACUGGCGAUCUUGAGUCCGGGAGAGGUGAGUGGAACUCCGAGUGUAGAGGUGAAAUUCGUAGAUAUUCGGAAGAACACCAGUGGCGAAGGCGGCUCACUGGCCCGGUACUGACGCUGAGGUGCGAAAGCGUGGGGAGCAAACAGG